UACGAAAGGGGCUAGCGUUGUUCGGCAUUACUGGGCGUAAAGCGCACGUAGGCGGCUUGGUAAGUUGGGGGUGAAAUCCCAGGGCUCAACCCUGGAACUGCCUCCAAAACUGCUAGGCUAGAGGAUGCGAGAGGUUGGCGGAAUUCCGAGUGUAGAGGUGAAAUUCGUAGAUAUUCGGAAGAACACCAGUGGCGAAGGCGGCCAACUGGCGCAUUUCUGACGCUGAGGUGCGAAAGCGUAGGGGGCAAACAGG
rnacentral:rRNA from 1 species